rnacentral:rRNA from 1 species
AGAGAAUAGAUACCCUGGUAGUCCUGGCAGUAAACGGUGCACGUUUGGUGUGGGAGGAUUCGACCCCUUCCGCGCCGGAGCUAAACGCGUUAAACGUGCCGCCUGGGGAGUACGGUCGCAAGAUUAAAACUCAAAGAAAUUGACGGGGGCCCGGCACAAGCGGUGGAGUAUGUGGCUUAAUUCGAUGCAACGCGAAGAACCUUACCUGGCCUUGACAUGCAUUGCUAAGCUGGUGAAAGCCAGUGAGUGUCGAAAGACACACCUUGCACAGGUGCUGCAUGGCUGUCGUCAGCUCGUGUCGUGAGAUGUUGGGUUUAAGUCCCGCAACGAGCGCAACCCCUGUGAACUGUUGCCACGUCCUUGAUUGGACAGCACUCUGUUCAGACUGCCCUGUGAAACGGGGAGGAAGGUGGGGACGACGUCAAGUCAGUAUGGCCCUUACGGCCAGGGCUGCACACGUACUACAAUGCCCAGUACAGAACGAUCCGAGACCGCGAGGUGGAGGAAAUCCAGU